rnacentral:rRNA from 1 species
AGUGAACGCUGGCGGUAGGCCCAACACAUGCAAGUCGAACGGCAGCACAGUAAGAGCUUGCUCUUACGGGUGGCGAGUGGCGGACGGGUGAGGAAUACAUCGGAAUCUACUUUUUCGUGGGGGAUAACGUAGGGAAACUUACGCUAAUACCGCAUACGACCUACGGGUGAAAGCAGGGGAUCUUCGGACCUUGCGCGAUUGAAUGAGCCGAUGUCGGAUUAGCCAGUUGGCGGGGUAAAGGCCCACCAAGGCGACGAUCCGUAGCUGGUCUGAGAGGAUGAUCAGCCACACUGGAACUGAGACACGGUCCAGACUCCGACGGGAGGCAGCAGUGGGGAAUAUUGGACAAUGGGCGCAAGCCUGAUCCAGCCAUACCGCGUGGGUGAAGAAGGCCUUCGGGUUGUAAAGCCCUUUUGUUGGGAAAGAAAAGCAGCAGGUUAAUACCCCGCUGUUCUGACGGUACCCAAAGAAUAAGCACCGGCUAACUUCGU